rnacentral:rRNA from 1 species
GAUGAACGCUGACAGAAUGCUUAACACAUGCAAGUCGAUGGGGAAGUGGUGCUUGCACCAUGGUAACCAUGGCGGACGGGUGAGUAACGCGUAAGGAACUUGCCUGCGGGACUGGGAUAACAGCAGGAAACUGCUGAUAAUACCGGAUAAGGUCAUUAAGCUGCAUAGCUUAGUGAUGAAAGGAGACGCCUGCGGAGAGCCUUGCGUCCUAUUAGCUAGUUGGAGGGGUAACGGCCCACCAAGGCGAAGAUAGGUAGCCGGCCUGAGAGGGUGGACGGCCACAAGGGGACUGAGAUACGGCCCUUACUCCUACGGGAGGCAGCAGUGGGGAAUAUUGGACAAUGGGGGCAACCCUGAUCCAGCAAUUCUGUGUGCACGAAGACGGUUUUCGGAUUGUAAAGUGCUUUCAGCAGGGAAGAAGGAAGUGACGGUACCUGCAGAAGAAGCGACGGCUAAAUACGUGCCAGCAGCCGCGGUAAUACGUAUGUCGCGAGCGUUAUCCGGAAUUAUUGGGCAUAAAGGGCAUCUAGGCGGCCUUUCAAGUCAGGGGUGAAAACCUGCGGCUCAACCGCAGGCCUGCCUUUGAAACUGAUAGGCUGGAGUACCGGAGAGGUGGACGGAACUGCACGAGUAGAGGUGAAAUUCGUAGAUAUGUGCAGGAAUGCCGACGAUGAAGAUAGUUCACUGGACGGUAACUGACGCUGAAGUG